UACGUAGGGUGCGAGCGUUAAUCGGAAUUACUGGGCGUAAAGCGUGCGCAGGCGGUUCGUUGUGUCGGCGGUGAAAGCCCCGGGCUUAACCUGGGAAUGGCCGUCGAAACUGGCGAACUGGAGUGUGGCAGGAGGGGGGGUGGAAUUCCGCGUGUAGCGGUGAAAUGCGUAGAUAUCAUUUGGAACGCCAACGGAGAAAUCAGGCAGCUGGGGGUGUGCUGACGCUGAGACACGAAAGCCAGGGGAGCGAACGGGG
rnacentral:rRNA from 1 species